rnacentral:rRNA from 1 species
CCGGCGACCGGCGCACGGGUGAGUAACACGUAUGCAACCUGGCCGUCACAGGUGGAUAACCGGAAGAAAUUCCGACUAAUACAGCAUAACACUCCUGAGGGACAUCCUUCGGGAGUCAAAGGAGGCAACUCCGGUGACGGAUGGGCAUGCGGCGCAUUAGGUAGUUGGUAGGGUAACGGCCUACCAAGCCGACGAUGCGUAGGGGUUCUGAGAGGAAGGUCCCCCACGUUGGAACUGAGACACGGUCCAAACUCCUACGGAAGGCAGCAG